rnacentral:tRNA from 1 species
GGGUCUGUAGCUCAGCUGGUUAGAGCGCACCCCUGAUGUGGGUGAGGUCGGUGGUUCAAGUCCACUCUGACCCACCA